rnacentral:misc_RNA from 1 species
AAUGAUUGGCUGUGCGGUUG